rnacentral:rRNA from 1 species
GACGAACGCUGGCGGCGUGCUUAACACAUGCAAGUCGAACGGUAAGGCCCUUCGGGGUACACGAGUGGCGAACGGGUGAGUAACACGUGGGUGAUCUGCCCUGCACUUCGGGAUAAGCCUGGGAAACUGGGUCUAAUACCGGAUAGGACUCCGGACUGCAUGGUCUGGGGUGGAAAGCUUUUGCGGUGUGGGAUGGGCCCGCGGCCUAUCAGCUUGUUGGUGGGGUGAUGGCCUACCAAGGCGACGACGGGUAGCCGGCCUGAGAGGGUGACCGGCACCACUGGGACUGGGAUACGGCCCAGACUCCUACGGGAGGCAGCAGUGGGGAAUAUUGCACAAUGGGCGCAAGCCUGAUGCAGCGACGCCGCGUGAGGGAUGACGGCCUUCGGGUUGUAAACCUCUUUCAGCAUCGACGAAGCGAAAGUGACGGUAGGUGCAGAAGAAGGACCGGCCAACUACGUGCCAGCAGCCGCCGUAA